UUGCACUGUUCGUAACCUGUUGGCAGCUUUUUCUGCAAAUGGGUUCCAUUCCAGUGCUACAGUAACACCCCAAACAAGAAAAGCUGGCUAUUUCUGCCUGUUUGUUUUCUCUGUUUGGGGAACAAUA